GCUGGACCUGGGAGUGAGGCAGGAAGCUGCCUUUCUGGGUCGCAGGCUGUGGCCCUCUGGGAGAGCAGGUGGAGGUGUACCUUCUUUCCCAGCUGCCAUUCUGUUCCAUGGACGAUGCUGGCAAGUCCCAAACCCUCUCCAGCUAUCAAGAUGAACACCUUGCAGAAGAAAGAAGUCUGCCGCCGAGAAAGACGACUGGACGGGGCAGCUGGGAAGGGUUCUUACCACCAAGCCUGAAGGCCCAAGUUUGAUCCCUAAAGCUCACACAGCAAAAGGAGUGGAACGGCUCCUGAAAGCUACCCUCUGACCUCCACCUUAUGUCUCCUUCACAAAGAAACAAAUCAAGAUAAAUAAAUAAAUGUAUGCAGUUUUAAAAAAAAGAAAUGGGCUACAAGUGGAUCGGGAACCCACUUGUCCUGGCUCCCAGCAUUCCUUCUGUGAGAAGCUGGACUAGGUUCAGGAGGUCAUCGGAUGCUAUUCAGGGCCCUGAGUGAGCCCAGGCACAGAUGGAGUUUAAAUGUGGAAGCAGGGGCUGACAGAUGGAGGACCAAGUCUCCAGACAAGCUUGCACCUGUGCUCCAGGGGGAGAGAGCUGCCCCACCAAUUCUGCCUUGGAGUCUGUGAAGAAGUUAGGCAUCUGAAGCAGCCAGCGUCUGCCUCCUUAUGCCCAGCCCAGCUUCUGUUCCCUCCUUCCAGCAGCAGUUGCAAGGGGCCACAAGUGACAACUUUAGCCCAGGAGAAUGACAUGUGUAACUUAAGUCAUUCUGUUACUAAGUGUGACAAGGAUAUAUAUAUAUAUAUGUAUACACACACAUAUAUAAGUGUGUGUGUCUGUGUCUCUCUCUCUCUCUCUCUCUGUGUGUGUGUGUGUGUGUGUGUGUGUGUGUGUGUGUGUGUGUGUGUAUUUUCCCCUCGUUAAAAAUGGCUGAGCC
rnacentral:lncRNA from 1 species